rnacentral:piRNA from 2 species
UUUUGCUGAUUGCUAAAGGUCUUGAU